rnacentral:rRNA from 1 species
UACGUAGGGUGCGAGCGUUAAUCGGAAUUACUGGGCGUAAAGGGUGCGUAGGCGGAUCUUUAAGUCAGUGGUGAAAUCUCUCGGCUCAACCGAGAAACUGCCAUUGAUACUAUUGAUCUUGAAUACAGUUGAGGUGGGCGGAAUGUGUCGUGUAGCGGUGAAAUGCUUAGAUAUGACACAGAACACCGAUUGCGAAGGCAGCUCGCUAAACUGUGAUUGACGCUGAGGCACGAAAGCGUGGGGAUCAAACAGG